rnacentral:lncRNA from 1 species
AUGGGACCAAUCACGAUGUCGAAUUCAACACAAACCGUAAUCAAACGAUUAUAUAACCAAUAACGGGGUGAAAUUGCAAGAAGACGUGAAGAAGUGAUCGAACCUUUCCAGACACUGAUUUUCAGAGUUUCUUUGUUGAGAUCCCUCACAUAGUUCCCGAGAUACCUCUGCAACAGAUACGCUACAUGAUCUUCCAACAUCUUCAAAAUACACUGAUCUUAAACACAAUUGUGUGCACAUAUAGAGAGAUUAGGGUUUUUGAGAAGAGAGAUUGUGCGAAUGGAAGAAAGUAAUCGAGAAGUUUCGAUUGGAGAGAGAAGAUGCGGUUAUAGACAGAGAUUCGAAUAGGUGUGAGAGGGAUUGUGCGCUUUCGAUUGGAGAGAGAAGGCGGUUAUAGAGAGAGAUUCAAAUAGUUGUGGGAGAGAGUGUGCGAAUGGAAGAAAGUAAUC